UCACCCAAAUUCACAAUCAUUUGUUUUAGAAGUCAGUAACUUGGGGCGCAAGUUAUCCACUCUGAAAAGAAGUCUGCUAGAAUUUACAUUGCUAGCAGUGGCACGCUCACACACCAAAGAAAGCUGACUUGUCGACCAACAAGUGGUCUCCAAGCCGGUGGGGAACUUCGCCCUUCCACCUCAGGAGUAAACACGAAAACGGGUGAACAGAAGCAAAUUCAAGGUUAGUGGCAGACAUGCCUAUACAUCCCAGGCCUCGUGAACCCAACUUGAUCCUUUGCAUUCCUCUUGCCAUUUGCCAUCCGUAAUUUUGUGUGUUGUCGCUACCUUGGGGCAAGUGGCCUUGUAGCUAUAAGGAAAAUUGAGAGAGUUCUAUAAAGAUUGGGAAGGGGCUAGGUGAAUGUCAGGUGUUUGUUGGCUAUGGGGAGGGAGCCUCAUGAACUCUUCGUGUUUCAAUUAAUAAUUAAAUGGUAUUUUAGGAAUAUUGGUGAAUGAAUUUUUCAAAAUUACAUGAUGGGUGAGAAAUGGGUGGGGAAAUAGGACAGCGAGGGUGAAAAUAACAGCACUCUUUAAAAAUUAUAACAUGGUUAAGUUAGUCCAAAAAAUUGCAUUAAAUGUUUUCCCAAGUGGGGGAAAAAAGUUUCCCAAGGUAAGCAUGAUAAGUUCAUCGUACCCAUGAGUUGGAUAUUGUAUUGCAUUUACCAAACAUGAGAAUGCAAUUUUAUAUCCAUUCCCA
rnacentral:lncRNA from 1 species